rnacentral:rRNA from 1 species
AACGAACGCUGGCGGCAUGCCUAACACAUGCAAGUCGAACGAGACCUUCGGGUCUAGUUGCGCACGGGUGCGUAACGCGUGGGAACCUGCCCUUAGGUUCGGAAUAACUCCCCGAAAGGGGUGCUAAUACCGGAUAAUGUCUUCGGACCAAAGAUUUAUCGCCUUUGGAUGGGCCCGCGUUGGAUUAGCUUGUUGGUAGGGUAAAAGCCUAUCACGGCGACGAUCCAUAGCUGGUCUGAGAGGAUGAUCAGCCACACUGAGACGGAGACACGGCCCAGACUCCUGCGGGAGGCAGCAGUGGGGAAUAUUGGAAUAUGGGCGAAAGCCUGAUCCAGCAAUGCCGCGUGAGUGAUGAAGGCCUUAGAGUUGUAAAGCUCUUUUACCCGGGAUGAUAAUGACAGUACCGGGAGAAUAAGCACCGGCUAACUCCGUG